GACGAACGCUGGCGGCGUGCUUAACACAUGCAAGUCGAACGGAAAGGCCCGGCUUUUGUGGGGUGCUCGAGUGGCGAACGGGUGAGUAACCCGUGAGUAACCUGCCCUGGACUUUGGGAUAACUUCAGGAAACUGGGGCUAAUACCGGAUAGCAGCUCCUGCUCCAUGGGGGGGGUUGGAAAGUUUCGGCGGUUGGGGAUCGACUCGCGGCUUAUCAGCUUGUUGGUGGGGUAGUGGCUUACCAAGGCUUUGACGGGUAGCCGGCCUGAGAGGGUGACCGGCCACAUUGGGACUGAGAUACGGCCCAGACUCCUACGGGAGGCAGCAGUGGGGAAUAUUGCACAAUGGGCGGAAGCCUGAUGCAGCAACGCCGCGUGCGGGAUGACGGCCUUCGGGUUGUAAACCGCUUUCGCCUGUGACGAAGCGUGAGUGACGGUAAUGGGUAAAGAAGCACCGGCUAACUACGUG
rnacentral:rRNA from 1 species